UACGGGGGGGGCAAGCGUUGUUCGGAUUCACUGGGCGUAAAGGGUGCGUAGGUGGUGAGGUAAGUCGGAUGUGAAAUCUCCAAGCUCAACUUGGAAAUGGCAUUGGAAACUACCUUGCUGGAGGUUUGGAGGGGGGACUGGAAUUCUCGGUGUAGCAGUGAAAUGCGUAGAUAUCGAGAGGAACACCAGUGGCGAAGGCGAGUCCCUGGACAAAACCUGACACUGAGGCACGAAAGCUAGGGGAGCAAACAGG
rnacentral:rRNA from 1 species